ACUGAAGCAAAGGGUCAUGGGGACAGUGU
rnacentral:piRNA from 1 species